ACGGUGUAAUUUUACAUCCACUUGCUGCUUGAGUUCUUCUACUUUUCCCCGCUUUUUCCUCAUGUCUCCACAUAUCCAAUUCUCCAUCAGUCUCUCUCUCUCUAAAAAUGCCUAAUUGUUAUCUGAGCUCUCAUUCUCUCUCCUCAAUCUCAAUUCUUCACUCUUCCACCGGUGACCCUUACCUUUCCAUUCCUUCAAUCUCGAUUUUCGACUCAUUCAGUUCUCUGUUGAAGUGGCUUCUUAGCUUUCUCUCUUCCAUUGAAGCAGUUUAUGAGAUGAAGAAAAAUUUAUUUGACUUGACCUCGAAACUCGGCUUUGAGUCCAAACUUGAAAGAUGAGCAGUCUUCUCGAUAAUCCUCUUGUGGGUACGAUCUUCUUCUUCAAUUUUUUUUUUUCAAUUCUUCGAUUUUUAUUUGUACUUGCUCGUGAAAUGAUGAAAUAGGUAUUUUGUUCUGGAUUUUGGAAUGUAAUUGAGUUCGAUUUUUUAUUUUUGAUAAUUGUUUUUACGAUUAAAUUAAUAAUUGAAUGAUCAGAGAUUUACUUGAAGGCGGUGAUGAUAAAUAAUAGUUUGAUAGUAAUCAAUUUUCAGUUUGAUUUUUGAAGGCAUUCUUGCUUUGGGUAGUUUGCCAUUUGGUUUAAUUUGGCAGCAAUAUGAUGGGUGUUUUGCAUGUUGAUGGGGUUGAAAUUUUCUCUCUCCUCAAAUACGCAUCUUUUCAGGUUUAGUUGGCCGUCAUGGUUGAUUUUUUCCUUGCUUGAGUUGCAAAACCAAAAUUUUUGUUUGAAGCUAUGCUGAUCUAAGCCUCCUCUGUCAAUUUAUUUAUUUAAUUUUUUUUUGUCAGAACUCAUUAUUUGUCAUGAAAAAAUGAAUUCGAUGAUUUGAAGAUGUUUUGAUGGACAAAUUUUAAGUUCAAAUUGUUUUAGAAUUACUGAAAGUCAGAUGGCAAAGGUUGAUUUUUUAUGUUUAAAUUUGAUGAACAUGACUAGAGAAGACAAUUGGUUAUGUAUGAGGGUAAAAUUUAUUUGAAAGCUAGGAUUCGAUGAGAAUUGUAUCACUUAUGCUUCUUAAAACAUAUAUUGUGAGGUUGUGUUGAUCAAAUAGCGCAGAUUAAAGCAUAUACUAUGAGGUUGUGUUGAAUUGUUGAUCAAAUAGGGGAAUGAAUAUGCUUUGUCCCCUAUCUCUCACUCUCCUCCAUUGAAGCGUACUCUGAAUUCUCUGUUGAAAUGGCUUCUGCCUUUGUAAGCUUUCUCUCCUUUAUUGAAGGAGGUUCUGAGGUAAGAUGUUUUUCUUAAUUAGUGACCAUCAGUUUAUAAUCUAGGGUUUAACGUUGAUUAAUACCAAGAAUGAGGCAGGGAGAGGUAAUGGGAGUUUCCCAAUGACCGUUUUGCCCCUCUCCUUAGGCGACCAUUGUUUACGGUGGUUAGCUUUUGCAGGUGAUUUAUCCAGACACUGUUAAAACGGUCCUCAAACAAUCUAUUUAGAACCAUAGCUGCUUUAUCUGUCUAUCUGAUCUGUGACUGUUUAACUCUGCUGAAUGCCUGAUUGCAUGCUUCUUGACCUUCUAACCACAAAAAUCACCAACCAUUAUAGGCUGUGAUGAGUGUACACCAUUCAAAGUAGUUAAAUUUAAUAUGGAGAAUUAUUUGAGGUUUUGGGUGAUUUUUUUUUUAUUUGGCUUGGCAGAAAGAUCAAUUGUUGGUUUAUUUUAUACGAUGUAUUAUUUUUAUUUUGUGGUUUGGUUUAGUUAGACUUUGGAAAUUAUUUGGCCCAAUCUUAUUGAUUGCCGCCAUGGUUGAUUUUACCAACUCGAAACCACCAGAUUAUUUGAUGAAAUGUGGAUCUGAGCCUGUUGUUAAAAAAAAAAAAAGUUGCAUUGUUGAAUUUUGGUAAUACUUUUACAACUUUUUAAAGUCACCCCAAGCUACAGUGCUACACUUUAACAUAUGUGGAGUACAUAUGAUAUAAUAUUGUAGUUCUUUAUAGUUUGAAUAAUAGCUAUGGUUCCCUUAUUUUUGGACAUGUUAGUUUGAAAUAAUGUCUUGAUUCGAUUAUGAAUGUUAAUGCACAAAGCAUUGAAGGGUAUCAGUAUUUUCUGCAAUGUUUACAAAUAGAAGACUUAUAUGUAAUUAGAACCGGAAAUAGAAAUGGAUAAUUAACUGAAGAUACUUUAGUUUCUGAAAAAUCAUAGUGAACAUCCUUCUUGGAACUUUGGUUGCAAUAUAACAUACUAUGGAGUACAUUGGACAUGAGAACAAGGUUUGGACUUUGGACUGAAUGCAGGUGUCAAUCUUACGUUGUUCAAGUAGUAACUUUUCUUGAAGGUAUUCAAAGUGUCCUGGUUUCUUAUCAUGAUAAUUUACCUAUUGUGGUUCGAUAAAGAGCCUGAGUUUCAUAAAGCCUGAUAGAGAUUAUUAGCUUUUCCUAUGUUUCCUAUGCGCAGCUGAUUUCCAGCAUACAUCUCUGUCCUCUCACUCUCUCCUCCAUUGUGGCGCACUCCGAGUUUCCCAUUGAAGCGUUAUCUAAGCUUCCUACAUUGAAACUUCUUGUGAUCUGAGGUAAAUUUUUAUCCUUCUUUAUGACCAUUGAGUAUGAAUUUGACAAUCUACGGUUUAAUUCUACUCAUUGUUUCAUUUAGUUGUUAGUAUAAUCAAUAUAGGGAAUCAUUGAAAUAUUUUUUUUCUAAUUACUGAAGUUAUGAGCUAUUAUAAUGAAUAAUUUUGUUGCUACUUUUUGCUAUGUGUGUGCGAUUUAAUCUGAUUACAUGAAGAAUUAUAUGAAUCAUGAAAUUUGGCCGGAAAAUAUUUUUAAAGUCUGACUAAUAAUUAUAUGUUAUACCCUAAUUUUUUAAUUUUUUUUAAUAAAUAUUCUGGUUUAAAGAUUUGAAUUACAAGGAUGAAGGAUUGAAAUCAUCGAAAUAUUGAUCAUCGUGUAAAAAUGUAUAUAGUAUAUGCAAGCUUGACUGUAGGAGCGGAUUCAAAAUUGCAUCCAAUGUUCUUUUGUCUUGAGGUGAUUGGAAAACUGAGCGUCUUUGAUAUAGGGAUGUUUGAUUGUAAUGCGCUAACUGCUAAGUGCUAGAAACUUAACAUACUUGAUUCUUUGGUGCAGUAUUGCUGCCAGAUGGCCUCUUGUACAGAUUUGUCAAUUAUGCUAUUUACAAAAUCAAUGCAGUGUUGCUAGUAUACUAAUCAUUUUGUAUUUCGCAGUAGAGUAGUAGAAACUAUUAACUAAGAAUGCCGGGGAGAAGACUAUUGAGUGGUUAGACAAGUUAGGAAAUUCAAAUGGUUCUCUUCCAGCAUCCCAAAUCCGUUUGAAUAUGCUACAAGUAAAUGCAAAAUAAUGGUAUGAUUCUUCGUACGCAUAGUACAUUGGAGUAAGGUAUGCUAAUGCUUGUGAUUCUUGUAUUGGAUGUUUCUCGUUUUUAGUAAUGUUGCUCAUCCCAAUAUAAUUCGCCUUUUUGUAGCCAUUGAGGUUGAGAUUAUCAUUGUAGCCAUCCCAAUAUUAUGUCCAUGCUGAUUAAUUAUGUUUGUCAGACCCGAGAUUGAUGCUUGUUGGCAAUUGUAGGCCUCUAUUCAUAUAUCUAACUCUCUAGAAAGCUAUUAUAGUAAUUGUAAACAGCUGUGAAUAUGGUCGUGUCUUUGGGUGGGUAUCAAUAUGGAUGCUCUAAAUUUUAUUGAAAUAAAUCCGGACCUUAAUUGCUAGCCCAAGGAAAGUUAUUGCUAGCUGCUUACUGAAUGCAAUAUUUGAUAGAUUAGGUAGCUGAAGUAUAUCUCAAGGAAGAAAGUGGCUAAUAGAUGGUGGGCUGAAAAUCAACCAAUAUUAUGUUUCCCUCUUAUGCAGCUUAUUACUUCUUCGAGCACCAAUUAAUCUUUGUCAUGUUUUAAGGAUUCAUGCUCUGUCCAUGAAUAGUAUGUGGAUGAUGUGGUACAAGCUAAUUGGUGUUACUUGCAGAAGUCAAAUAAGCUAAGGGGAAGUAUAAUAACACAAAAUCUAAUCCAAUUUUAUUACUAAAUUUGGGUUGAUGAUAUUUUGCAAUUAUAUGAAUAGUUAUAAAUUUUUUUGGGUUUCCUUUGUAAGAAUAUUUGUAUUAACCACUUAUCUAAAACCAAUUAUGUUCUUGAAAUAUUUGUAAGAUUAUUUGGCAUAUUUUUCUUUUCUUUGUGAAUACUUAUUUCCUAUCCUUCUCACCUUGUCAGCAAUAGAGAAGGUUUUAUUUAUUUGAUUAUUUAUUACUCGUAGUUUAAUAACAAGUUGUCCCAAUUGACAUUUUUGUACGUACGUAGUGUCUAUGACUUUGAUUUGCGUUGUCACCAUAGCUGCAAUGAACAAGGCACCAGCGCUAACGCUUCUGUUCAAAAUAAAGACAAUGAUUCUGUUGCAGCAUCUUAGUAGAAGGGUGUUGAUUGUCCGUCACAGAGAGAGGAAGAAAUAUAAAGUGAAGCUAUUGACUUUUGAACACGAGGCUGCUUUCCCCCUUUUCCUUUGAAGCAUACUCUCAGUUAGCCUCCUCCAUUGAAGUGUUCCUCUGAGUUCUCCUUUGAAGUGGUUUCUGAUAUGUCUAUUUGUUUUUUCGUCGACACCGCUACUGAGAUGCGUGUGGAAGUCUGGCGAAAGAGCAGCAAGCAACAGGAGUUGCAAUUCUGCUUCAAAUUAUGAUGCUGCUUCUUGCUUAUGUACUUGGUCAUGUUUUGCGUCGCCAUAAAUUUUAUUAUCUUCCUUAAGCUAGCGCUUCUCUUUUGAUUGGGUUUGGGAAGUGUGAGAAGCUAAUCUAUUGACUGUAUUGAGGAUAAAGAAGCUGAUUGUGUGAUAAAGAAUGGGACUUCUGAAUAGAUGGUGAAGAUAGUAGAAACACUCAAUGCAGGUAAAGGUCAUGUAAAAGGUUGGGAGUCUACUUUAUGAAGACUUGGGAGAAAGAAAUUUGAUAUAGUUUUUUUUUUUUGAACGGAAUUUGAUAUAGUUCAUGAAGCAGCUCAAAUCAAAGUAAUACACAUUAUUCAAAAGAGUAUCAGAGAACUUAAACUACUUGAUUUAAUUGCAUAUAGUGCAUAUAAGAUGUAAGCAUUAAAUAUCUCGCAGGACUCUGCUAAAACUAUUGAUCAUGUCUCACAAGGUAGCUUCUUGGACAUGUUCCAAAUGAAGCAUGCUUUUGGACUUACAAUAAGUCUUGUGUUCAUGGAACGAGCAUCAUGUGGUGGAACAAAUGGUAUUUUGUUUUAUGCAGCUACAACUUUAUAAAUGUGGAAGACUAUCAAUUUUACUGGUGAGUAUCCUAUGUGAUGUAACAUAUAUCCUGUGCUUUUAUACUACGUAUAUGAUUUUCUGUAUUAUUUGGCGAUUCAAGGUUAUUUGUCGCAAAAUCUGGAUGUCCUUUGUGUCCUAUGUUUUUGUGCAAAUAUGAGAAUUUACUCAACUUUUGAAUUAUUUUCCAUAAUUCUUCAUGAAUUUUACAAAGUAAAAUAGCCAUGAUGGAAGAAUUGAAACAAGAACAUUUACAUAAUUACAGUAUGCAUGAAGAAGGCUUCAACAAUAAUUUAAGAUGUUCAUGGUGAGUUUGAAGCUAUCUUAUGCGAAGUACUUCAAUAUCCAUUCACGUUAAUGGCACUGACACUUUUAUCUUUUAUGCUUUUGCUACUUUUGUUUCUGUUGUUGAGGAAUUGUGGAUUGGGAUGGGAUGUUUCUUAUGGACUAUACAAAUGUGAUGUCAUCUUGUUGUAGUAUUAUAGUUGAACAUGUACCAAUGUCAUACUCAAAUUUCCCUUGUUUCUUGCAAGUAUAUGACAAUGAAACUAAUGUUUUUUCAGGCUGAAUACAUGCAAUAUUAAAACUUCAAUAUGCAUUAUGAGUCUGACUAUGCAGAAACCUCUUGAUCUCCAACUUUCAGCCGGUGAAUUUAGUGGCCAAUGUGUUGAUGAAGUUAUAAAGAAGAUUAUAAAUGGUAGAAAUAACAAUAAUUGUAAAUUUUAUGUUCUUGGUGGAAUUAUAUUAUUAAUUUUUACAAAUUCUCACACUACAUAUUUGGCUUGUGCUAAAAUUAUUGUUUAGCUUAGGAUUAAUUAAUUCUAGCAUUUACUCUCUCUAGACCACUACCAUGUACUUAGGUUGUUACAAUCAAUCUGAUCAAAUUUAAAAUGGCUAGAGAUUUGGGUGAAUGAGGCUCACUAUAGAUGGACAACGUUUGAGUUUUCGCAUUUGUCAAUGAACA